rnacentral:lncRNA from 1 species
UUACCAAAUCAUUGACCAUGUGGCACAAACUAAAGGGCCCGAUCCCAAGAUCAAGGACUAGGCAAUGGAUAGAUGAUGUGAACCAUGAGACCACUCCAUUUAAGAAGUCAGGAUUUAUCUUAUUUAUGAAAAAUUCAUUACAAGAUAGUUCCAUUUUGACGUAGUUUAUUACAGCAAAGAAAAAGAAGAACAAAAGGUAAAAGCCUCGGGUUCGAUCAACAUCCUCCGGCC